GGAGCUGUGGCUCAGUGGUAGAGCGCUUUCCUGCUGCAGGUGAGGCCAUGGGUUCAAUCCUCAGCACCA
rnacentral:tRNA from 1 species